GAUCAUGGCUCAGGAUGAACGCUAGCUACAGGCUUAACACAUGCAAGUCGAGGGGCAGCAUGGUCUUAGCUUGCUAAGGCCGAUGGCGACCGGCGCACGGGUGAGUAACACGUAUCCAACCUGCCGUCUACUCUUGGACAGCCUUCUGAAAGAAAGAUUAAUACCGGAUAGUAUCGAGAGAUUGCAUGAUUACCCGAUUAAAGAUUUA
rnacentral:rRNA from 1 species